CGUGGUUUAAAAAAAUAAAACCCUAAGUUAUUAAACAUUUUCCUAACCUAAAAGAAAAAUUAAAGAAAAGAGAGAAAAAACUCUCUCAGCGCCGUUCUGCGUUCUGGAAGCGUCCGAACGUCUCCGAUCUCAGCCCCUACUCCGAUGCCGACGGAGAGAGCCAGGAUCGGCCUCAAGGUAACUCCCCCUCCCCGAUCUCAUUUAUUUUAUAUAUAUAUGUGCUUAUAUAUGUAUUAAUAACAAAACAAAGAACAAAAGAAAGAAGAACGAUCGAAAAAAAAAACAGAAUCGCAAAGAGAGAAAAAAAGAAAACCUUUGUUGUAUUGAUAUAUUUUUUUUACAAUCUGUGUAUUCUCUGUAUCUGAGAGUGUUUUUUUUUUUACAAUAUGCGUGGGUCUUUUUUAUAGCCAGAAGAAAUAAAAAAACUGAAAAAAAUCCCCUAUUUUUACUGCUAUUUUCUUUUCUGGUAUUUCUGCUUUUUCCUUGCUCUCUCUGCUUUUGCGUUCGUUUGCUUGUCCUUUGCAGGUACGGGUACGGAGGCUCCCGUGGCACAGUGCAUGUGGGGAGAGAGGCGCACGUGAGGGGAGCGGCUCGAAGGCGCGGUUCGUGCGAGGGCAGAGCCUGCGGCGCCUAGAUCUUCUGGAAACCCUAGAAGUUUUCUGUUUCUGAUUUGGGUUUUCUGGUGUUGGGCCAUUUGGGCCGAUUUGGUUUUGGGUUAGUGUCUGGGCUAGGUUAAUUGGGUUUGGGGGUUAUUUUAUUUGUAAUGGACUAUGGAUUUUUGUUUACUUUGGGCUCCGGGCAAAAUUUGGGCCCUACAUAAUCUUUAGUAUCUAUCUUCAUACAGCCAUAAACCAAGGUUUCUGUUGUGACAAUUUGCACAGGCUUUGCCUGGAAGCAGCCAUAUUUUCAAGUAAAACUUAUUCAAACAAAACAAACAAAAGGAUGUUGAUCUUUCAUUCAUAGAAUAGAAGACACUGUAAACAUAUCACAUGUAACAUGUCAUAUAUGUAAAAGAUAUCAACAAUAAUGAUAACUAGAAGCUGGUUUUAUUACAUGCAGUUGGUGAAUUGUGAAGCAGCUGUAAUGGACAAAGCACAAGUUCUGGCCUCUUUCAAGGUUCUAUCCCAAGUUUGCAAUUUCACUAGCAUAGCAUCCUGGAUGUAUUCUGUUUGCCAUCUUAUCAUGGGUUGAGCUGAC
rnacentral:lncRNA from 1 species